rnacentral:rRNA from 1 species
UUCGGUGACCAUAGCGAGGGAGUCACACCCGUUCCCAUUCCGAACACGGAAGUUAAGCCCCUCAGCGGCGAUGGUACUUCCGCAUUAAGCGGUGGGAGAGUAGCUCGUUGCCGAUG